AUUGAACGCUGGCGGCAGGCCUAACACAUGCAAGUCGAGCGAGCGGCGGACGGGUGAGUAAUGUCUGGGAAACUGCCUGAUGGAGGGGGAUAACUACUGGAAACGGUAGCUAAUACCGCAUACCAUCAGAUGUGCCCAGAUGGGAUUGGCUAGUAGGUGGGGUAACGGCUCACCUAGGCGACGAUCCCUAGCUGGUCUGAGAGGAUGACCAGCCACACGGGGACGGAGACACGGCCCAGACUCCUACGGGAGGCAGCAGGGGGGAAGUUGGGACAAUGGUGGAAACCCUGAUCCAGACAGCCCGCGUGUGCGAUGAGGGCCUUCGGGUUGUAAAGCACUUUUGGCAGGAAAGCGGUACCUGCAGAAUAAGCACCGGCUAACUCCGUGCCAGCAGCCGCGGUAAUUC
rnacentral:rRNA from 1 species